rfam:Arabis alpina cultivar Pajares Aa.chr1_contig_3354, whole genome shotgun sequence.
GGGUCCAUAGUUUAGUGGUAGAAUUCUUAACGCUGUCGAGAGGCACCGGUUCGAUUCCGGUUGGAUCCA